GCACCCCCGCCCCGAUGAAUCACCGAACUCGGCAUUUACACGCCCGCCAGACCGCGAGACCGGGCUGCCAGCCCAAGGCCAGGACGUGCCGUGCCCAGAGCUGGGGUCUGGCCGGCGGAGGAUCCUGUGGCUGGGCCCGGCUCCGCUCCGUCACCCCAGGAAAUGGAAAUGUCCCUAAAAUGUUCGCUUUACAGCUGCUUUGACUUUUUUGUUCGUGCUUAAAAUAGCCUGAAGCAAGGCCUCUCCGGCUGGCCGCUGCCGAGGUUAGAGACGCUUGGCUGGGGCCCCGGAGGCCGGCGGGAGGCCAGGCUCAGCCGGAAAGCGCUUCUCCUCUUUCUGUGACUUGGGGCUGCCGUGCUCGCCUUCUGAAAGUCAGGUGACUAACAGGCUCGAUCAUGAAGUUGCGCUGCUGUCACGGUCUGGAGGGCCGUGUGUGAGCCGGGCCCGUUCCCCUCACCACCUGCACACCAGUUAACCCAGACUGGGGGCUGAACCCACAAACCCAGGGUCCCGGGCCAGGAAUUGGCUGUGAGCCUUCCCGGCUUGCUGCUGUCCCCACACAGCCCCCGGGGCCUAGCCUCCCGCUGCGCUUCCCUCCACCGGUGGUGAGACUGAGGCUGGGAAGUACGGUGGUUUGCCCGAGGUCACUCUGGAGCUGAGGGUGACAUCCGGAGAGCCCCAUGCUCCCCCCAUCAGGCCCAGACUGCCAUGCUUGUGAACCGCCUCUCUGGCGGGCUGCCACGUCUCCAAGUCACGCCCAAAAGGGGAGACCAGGCUGCCUCCAGCGUCCUCUGUGUCCCCUGCCACCCUCAGGGCCCACUUUUCCCGAGGCCGGUGUCCGGGCCCAGAGCGGCCUUCCUGUCUGCCUGAACGUGGACAAGACCGCGUGUGGGCCUCGGGGUGGUGCCCCUGAGGCUGCUCGAAACUGGCCAGUACGGGAAGGUGCAGGCAACAGGCUGCCUCCCCGGGCCUGCGGGGAUGAGCACUGACACUGGUGUAGAGGAACUUCGUCAUUGCUGUGGGCCGAGAGCAGGAGUCGCUCCGCUGAUUCUACAAGAAAAGCCGCCACGUGGGGGCUGCUGACCCCAGUGACCCCUGGGGGGGCGGGGAGGGCCUCCCCAGCAAGGGUGCAGCCUGGCCACCUGCCCACCCCCCGCAGAGCCAGGGUCCGUCUCUGCACGCGGUGGAGACCCCACAACGGCCCACCCCAGCCUCGCCAUUGGCUUCCCAGUCGGCCCCGGCGGUGUGUCCGUCAUCUGCCACCCGGGGUGGCCCCCUCCCGAGUCCUCACUGAGGCCCUGCUGGAGUGUCCAGGUGGAGGAAGAGGGGGCACAGGGAGCCCAGGUACCGCUGAGGGUUCUUGGUGAUUCUGGAAACUACUUGUCCUGUCCGCACAAAGGGCGAGCGCCUGGCUGGGGACGUGUCCCUCAGAGGGUCUACCGCAGGCAGGCCCCAGACCAUCUGGUGGCCACUUGCUUGUCCUGAUCCAAGGACACGGCAGCGUUUUCUGCCUGUGUCAUUUUAUGCAGAUAACUUGGCCUUGUCAACACCCUGUUUCUGCCUACAGAGAGGAGCUAAGAGCCCUCCCAGAGGGGCAGGCCUUGCACACUCACACACGCAUCUCCCUGCAGGCCCAACAGAGACCAACAACCACUCUUUAAUUUCCUCCAGAGUGCAGCGGCUGGCUCCCCGGCAGGGCCCCAAGGACAGGGGAGGAUUGCCCAGCGCUUCCAGAGACAGUGACCGCAGGGUCCAGACUGCGAGGCCAGCCAGGACGGCUCAACUGUCGGGAACGGCGAUGGAGCCCAUGGAUGGGGGACAUCGAAGGCACGGAAGGUCAGCCUUGAGGUGCCACUUUUGUCCAGUGAAAUCCAUCUGUGUUGAAUGGGCCGCUCCAUGGGUUCUGACGACUGUAGGCGCCGUGGAACCCACCUGCCCUCCCGCACUGGUCCUCCCCUGCCGGCGGGGGGGGGGGGGGUGGUGGCUGCCCCUGUCCCUGUAGGGCACUGUUGCUGUUCCUUGCACGUCGAAGGCAUGGAAUCGCGUGGUACCUGCUCUUUGCGUCUGGCUUUCGUUCACCGUGGAGUUUCUGAGACUGGGCCCGGCUGUUGGCCCUGCCGUGUGGUACCCUCAUGCGCUCUCUGUCCUCAUGACGGACGUCGGCGUCAAGAGAGUGUGACUUUAAAAUUUUGAUAAACUGCAACUUAAUCCCCCCUUUUUUCACUGCAGGUAGUGGUUUUGGGGUCGUCCUCUCUGAGAAGUCUGUUCCUGCUCCAAGGUCUCAAAAACAGUCUCCCGUGUUUCUGUAAAUAUAGCUUUCGCUUUUGGCUGUGGGUUUGUGAGCCGUUUUUAGUUAACUUAGGUGCUGUGUGUGUGUGUGUGUGUGUGUGUGUGUGUGUGUGUCAGGGUCAGUCGGGGUUGGCUUCGCGCUGCACGGAAAUCCCGUGGCUCCCAGCACUGGUCGUUGAAAAGACGAUUCUCUCCCCCGAAUUGCCGUCUUUGUCUAAACCACUGGACCGCGCCAGUGCGGGUCUGCUUUUGGGUUCUCCCUUCUCUUCCCCAGCCAGCAUGCCCACCCGUAGGCCCAUAAAGCACUAUCUCAAUGACGACGGCUCUCUAAGCCUGCAAAUCAGGCAGUGUGAGGACCUCAGCUUUGUUCUUCUUCUUUGAAACUUUUGGUGGUUCUAGGUACUUUGCACUUCCAUAUAUAUUUCAGAAUGAACCUGUAGUUUCUAAAACAAAAAAGCCAAAGCCAGCUGAGAGCAUUAAAGCUCCACGGAGGAGAAGACAUCCUCACACCACGGAAUCUCUCAACCCAGCAAGGCGGCGGGGUGCCCGGUUUCCACCACCCCUCCAGCUUCAGGCCUCUGCGUUCUGUGGCUUCUCUCAGAGGACUUCUCGUGCUGUUACACUUACGCAUAAACACUUUACCUUCCAAGCCGUUUAAAUGGAAAUGAUCUAAAGUUUUCUUUUCUAGUGCUCGUUUCUAAUAUCCAGCAACACAACUGAUUUCUGAAUAUUGACCCGUGUGCCAUGAACUUAGUCAAUUCAUUUAUCUGGAAGUGUUUUUUGUGGAUUUGUUAGGAUUUUCCAUGUCAGUGAUCGUGUUGCCUGAAACCAACAGGAGUUUCCCAUCAUGCUUUCCGAUCUGUGUGCAUUUUCUUUCUUGUUCUUAUUCUCUCGCGCAGACCGACCUUUCCUUAACGUCGAGUAGCAGGACUGAGGGAGACAGCCCUGCCUCGCCCACAGCUCAGGUGGCGAUAGCGGCGUCUGUCCGCACCCCGUGGUGCUCAUGCACAUUUCUCACGGCUGCGCCUCAGGAGGUUCAGGAGGGCCUCUCGAUCUUCCGUUUGCCGAGAGGUUUUCAUCACAAAUAGAUGCCAGACUUCUGUCGAGGGCUUCUUCUGAGCUCACUGACCCGACGGGCAGGAAGGGAAACAACCCGGCCUCGCGGCGCGAUGUGUCCGUCCAGCAUGGGCCGCUCCCGGAUGGAAAGCUUCCAGGAGAUCCCUCCGUGGCACCCCAAAGCACGUGACAGAGCCGGGCUCGAACCAGAGGAGCCGGGACUGCGUGUAUGGCCCGAGCUGGGCAAGGAGCGCGGCGUGUGCGGUACUCGCCGGUGGUCCUGUCACAAGAGCCACAGCGCUGGGAGCGUUCGCAUGAGAUGAGGGGCCGCUGCUCCUCCUGGGCGGACGGAGCCGGUCGACAGACCUCGGUUAUCGGGGAUGAGUGCGUGCCUGUCGUAAGGGCACUGUCAGCGGGCACCGUGUCGCCUCGACGCAGGGCCACGUGUGUUUCCCGCCGGCAUUCCGCAGGAUCUCAGCUCCCUGGGCAGCUACCAGUCUUGGCCGGCGUGAAGCGCCACAUGGGGAAGGCACCGACAAAGACUCCCCGAACGGGUAAAUGAAGGAGCAAAGGGACGAGGGAAAGGCCGGACACCGGGUAAGGCCACACCUGCUGUCGAGGACCCGCCAGGCCCGGCGUCCUGGCUGGGUCCCUGCUGCCUGUGGGGAGUUGGCCCGCUUUCUGCUCCUGAAGCUUGGUUUUCUUACCUCCCAAAGGCAGAUACAAACCUCGCAUGGCGGGCACCUGGGUGGCUCAGUGGGUUAAAGCCUCUGCCUUCGGCUCAGGUCAUGAUCCCAGGCUCCUGGGAUCGAGUCCCGCAUUGGGCUCUCUGCUCAGCGAAGAGCCUGCUUCCUCCUCUCUCUCUCUCUCUGCCUGCCUCUCUGCCUGCUUGUGAGCUCUCUCUGUCAAAUGAAUAAGUAAAAUCUUAA